GAUGAACGCUAGCUACAGGCUUAACACAUGCAAGUCGAGGGGCAGCAUGUCGGUUGCUUGCAACCGAUGAUGGCGACCGGCGCACGGGUGAGUAACGCGUAUCCAACCUACCCUUGUCCAUCGGAUAACCCGUCGAAAGGCGGCCUAACACGAUAUGCGGUUCACAGCAGGCAUCUAACGUGAACGAAAUGUGAAGGAGAAGGAUGGGGAUGCGUCUGAUUAGCUUGUUGGCGGGGUAACGGCCCACCAAGGCUACGAUCAGUAGGGGUUCUGAGAGGAAGGUCCCCCACAUUGGAACUGAGACACGGUCCAAACUCCUACGGGAGGCAGCAGUGAGGAAUAUUGGUCAAUGGACGAGAGUCUGAACCAGCCAAGUAGCGUGCAGGAUGACGGCCCUAUGGGUUGUAAACUGCUUUUAUAGGGGGAUAAAGUGUGCCACGUGUGGCAUAUUGCAGGUACCCUAUGAAUAAGGACCGGCUAAUUCCGUGCCAGCCGCCGCCGUAAUAC
rnacentral:rRNA from 1 species